UCAACAUGUUGGUCCACAGAAUCGAAAGA
rnacentral:piRNA from 1 species